rnacentral:rRNA from 1 species
UACGUAGGUGGCAAGCGUUAUCCGGAUUUAUUGGGCGUAAAGAGAACGCAGGCGGUCUUUUAAGUCUGAUGUGAAAGCCUUCGGCUUAACCGGAGUAGUGCAUUGGAAACUGGGAGACUUGAGUGCAGAAGAGGAGAGUGGAACUCCAUGUGCAGCGGUGAAAUGCGUAGAUAUAUGGAAGAACACCAGUGGCGAAAGCGGCUCUCCGGUCUGUAACUGACGCUGAGGUUCGAAAGCGUGGGUAGCAAACAGG